GGGGAAGGUAACUUUUUCGUUUCAGAGAUCUUCAAUGGAAAAGAACAAUGCUAAAGAAACUACACCCUAGGAACUACAUCUGAGGAUAUUCAUCCACGCCUGGAACUUAUUCAGAUGAUAGAUAAAAUGUAGGCUGUCCAGUUCCUCACCAGACAUCUGCAAACUCUAAUGGCUUGGAAUGGGAUAUGUGGAUAUAACUCUGGAGAAGAGGACAGGGGACAGUAUUUUAUCCUAAAAGUAAUGGAAAGUCAAGAGUAAACGAAAGGUUCCUGGAUCCCAGAAGUCUUGCCUCAUUCACAGUGUGAAUGCUCUUCUGUUACUUAUCACACCACAUUGCAGUAAUCUGUCCACGAAGAUGUCUCUCAGCCACUGGACCACCAG
ensembl:lncRNA